UUUCUCAUCCUAUUCCUCUCAGCCACACCCUUUUCUCAUUCUUACCUCUCAAUCUCCCUCUCCCUCACAUCUAACCUUUCAAUAUCCCUCACAUCUAACCUCUCAGCUCCUUCUCUCUCUCUCUCUCUCUCUCUCUCUCUCUCUCUUUGUCCCACCCUUUUCUCUUGCAGGUGGCUGGCGCGGGAGGCUCGAUGGAGACUGCGACGGGGCUCUACGCGAACCAGACCCCAAAACUUCAGGCGAGCUUUCUCCCUGACGUAAACCUGACCCCAAAAGCUUUAGGCCACCCUUCUCCCCACGCGAACUAGGCCCCAAAAGCUUCAGUCCAUCCUUCUCUUUGCGUGAACUAGACUCAUUCAGGCCACCCUUUAACAACAAAACUGCCCGAGUGACAUGAACAAAACCAUCGACGCCGAGCCUUGAGCGACCGAGAGAGAUUCUAGGUAAAGGGAAAGAAAAGCUCACCCAGCCUAACGUGGAGAACUUAGGUGGCGAUGUGUACAUAUGCGGCCGCUUGACCACCACGGCCAAGGUGUUUCUCAGAGUAACUUGGGGUUAACCCUAUUUUUGCCGCUUAGGUCAGCGAGUUGUAACUUUUGUACUGUAAUGACAUUUUGGAUUGUAAAUAGCUUGUAAACAUUUUUAUGGGCCCAUGUACAGUUUUAUGUUUUAAAUAAAAUAUAUCAUUUCCUUUUGAUCGA